CACUAGUGAUUCUCCUGGAAACGGGUGGUAAUGCCGGAUGCUCCGGUUGGAUGCAUGUCCUUCCGGGAAAGAUUUCAUCGGUAUGGGAUGGGGUCGCGUCCUAUCAGGUAGUCGGCGGGGUAACGGCCCACCGAGCCUACGACGGGUAGCCAGCCUGAGAGGGCGACCGGCCACAUUGGGACUGAGAUACGGCCCAGACUCCUACGGGAGGCAGCAGUGGGGAAUAUUGCACAAUGGGCGCAAGCCUGAUGCAGCGACGCCGCGUGCGGGAUGACGGCCUUCGGGUUGUAAACCGCUUUUGAUCGGGAGCAAGCCUUCGGGUGAGUGUACCUUUCGAAUAAGCACCGGCUAACUACGUGCCAGCAGCCGCGGUAAUACGUAGGGUGCAAGCGUUAUCCGGAAUUAUUGGGCGUAAAGGGCUCGUAGGCGGUUCGUCGCGUCCGGUGUGAAAGUCCAUCGCUUAACGGUGGAUCCGCGCCGGGUACGGGCGGGCUUGAGUGCGGUAGGGGAGACUGGAAUUCCCGGUGUAACGGUGGAAUGUGUAGAUAUCGGGAAGAACACCAAUCGAAUUC
rnacentral:rRNA from 1 species